GAUCAUGGCUCAGGAUGAACGCUGGCGGCGUGCCUAAUACAUGCAAGUCGAACGAGUUCUGGUUAAUGAUGGCGGUGCUUGCACCAAUAGAUUUAACAUUUGAACGAGUGGCGGACGGGUGAGUAACACGUGGGUAACCUGCCCUAAAGUGGGGGAUAACAUUUGGAAACAGAUGCUAAUACCGCAUAAAUCUUGGAACCUCAUGGUUCCAAGCUGAAAGAUGGCGUAAGCUAUCGCUUUUGGAUGGACCCGCGGCGUAUUAGCUAGUUGGUGAGGUAAAGGCUCACCAAGGCGAUGAUACGUAGCCGACCUGAGAGGGUGAUCGGCCACAUUGGGACUGAGACACGGCCCAAACUCCUACGGGAGGCAGCAGUAGGGAAUCUUCCACAAUGGACGAAAGUCUGAUGGAGCAACGCCGCGUGAGUGAAGAAGGUUUUCGGAUCGUAAAACUCUGUUGUUGGAGAAGAACGUACGUGAGAGUAACUGUUCACGUAGUGACGGUAUCCAACCAGAAAGCCACGGCUAACUACGUGCCAGCAGCCGCGGUAAUACGUAGGUGGCAAGCGUUAUCCGGAUUUAUUGGGCGUAAAGCGAGCGCAGGCGGUUUCUUAAGUCUGAUGUGAAAGCCCUCGGCUCAACCGAGGAAGUGCAUCGGAAACUGGGAAACUUGAGUGCAGAAGAGGACAGUGGAACUCCAUGUGUAGCGGUGGAAUGCGUAGAUAUAUGGAAGAACACCAGUGGCGAAGGCGGCUGUCUGGUCUGUAACUGACGCUGAGGCUCGAAAGCAUGGGUAGCGAACAGGAUUAGAUACCCUGGUAGUCCAUGCCGUAAACGAUGAAUACUAAGUGUUGGAGGGUUUCCGCCCUUCAGUGCUGCAGCUAACGCAUUAAGUAUUCCGCCUGGGGAGUACGACCGCAAGGUUGAAACUCAAAGGAAUUGACGGGGGCCCGCACAAGCGGUGGAGCAUGUGGUUUAAUUCGAAGCAACGCGAAGAACCUUACCAGGUCUUGACAUCUUCUGCUAUUCUAAGAGAUUAGAAGUUCCCUUCGGGGACAGAAUGACAGGUGGUGCAUGGUUGUCGUCAGCUCGUGUCGUGAGAUGUUGGGUUAAGUCCCGCAACGAGCGCAACCCUUAUGACUAGUUGCCAGCAUUAAGUUGGGCACUCUAAUCAGACUGCCGGUGACAAACCGGAGGAAGGUGGGGAUGACGUCAAAUCAUCAUGCCCCUUAUGACCUGGGCUACACACGUGCUACAAUGGAUGGUACAACGAGUCGCAAAACCGCGAGGUUAAGCUAAUCUCUUAAAGCCAUUCUCAGUCCGGACUGUAGGCUGCAACUCGCCUACACGAAGUCGGAAUCGCUAGUAAUCGCGGAUCAGCAUGCCGCGGUGAAUACGUUCCCGGGCCUUGUACACACCGCCCGUCACACCAUGAGAGUUUGUAACACCCGAAGCCGGUGGGGUAACCUUUUAGGAGCUAGCCGUCUAAGGUGGGACAGAUGAUUAGGGUGAAGUCGUAACAAGGUAGCCGUAGGAGAACCUGCGGCUGGAUCACCUCCUA
rnacentral:rRNA from 3 species